AGACGUCUCGGCCAGCCAGGUUACAAACGUAACAUAACUGACUGGUCCUGUCUCAUUUCUUGGCUGUCAUCACCAAGGUGAUCAGCAUGUCAUACAGAUAAUAAUUCAAAACGGCAACAACAAAGUGACUAGGAUGCCACAUGGAUGAUAGUACAAAACACCGUCGUUUUGUUUUACAAGAAUUGUUUUUUUGGAUUAAAUCAUUGUUAGAAAUGCCAAUGUAAAAUAAAUUAGAGCAAAUUUAGAGAAAACAUUUAUCACAAUUUUUGGGAGCAAUACUUGCCGUCCAAAAAAA